rnacentral:rRNA from 1 species
UACGUAGGGCGCAAGCGUUGUCCGGAAUUAUUGGGCGUAAAGAGCUCGUAGGCGGUCUGUCGCGUCUGCCGUGAAAACCCGAGGCUUAACCUCGGGCUGGCGGUGGAUACGGGCAGACUAGAGGUAGGUAGGGGAGAAUGGAAUUCCCGGUGUAGCGGUGAAAUGCGCAGAUAUCGGGAGGAACACCAGUGGCGAAGGCGGCGACCUGGGCCAAUACUGACGCUGAGGUGCGAAAGCGUGGGGAGCAAACAGG